rnacentral:rRNA from 1 species
AUUGAACGCUGGCGGCAUGCUUUACACAUGCAAGUCGAACGGUAACAGGCCGCAAGGUGCUGACGAGUGGCGAACGGGUGAGUAAUGCAUCGGAACGUGCCCAGUCGUGGGGGAUAACGCAGCGAAAGCUGCGCUAAUACCGCAUACGAUCUAUGGAUGAAAGCGGGGGACCGUAAGGCCUCGCGCGAUUGGAUCGGCCGAUGUCAGAUUAGGUAGUUGGUGGGGUAAAGGCUCACCAAGCCAACGAUCUGUAGCUGGUCUGAGAGGACGACCAGCCACACCGGGACUGAGACACGGCCCAGACUCCUACGGGAGGCAGCAGUGGGGAAUUUUGGACAAUGGGCGCAAGCCUGAUCCAGCAAUGCCGCGUGCAGGAAGAAGGCCUUCGGGUUGUAAACUGCUUUUGUACGGAACGAAACGGUCCUGGUUAAUACCUGGGGCUAAUGACGGUACCGUAAGAAUAAGCACCGGCUAACUACGUGCCAGCCGCCGCCGUAACAC